CCUACGGGGGGCUGCAGUGAGGAAUAUUGCCCAAUGGACGCAAGUCUGAGGCAGCGACGCCGCGUGGGUGAAGAAGGCCUUCGGGUCGUAAAGCCCUUUUCUGUGUGACGAGAACGGACGGUAGCACAGGAAAAAGUCUCGGCUAACUACGUGCCAGCAGCCGCGGUAAAACGUAGGAGGCAAGCGUUAUCCGGAGUUACUGGGCGUAAAGCGUGCGUAGGCGGGUCGGUAAGUGGGUCGUGAAAGCGCCGGGCUAAACCGGGCGAGGACGAACUAGACUGCCGGUCUAGAGGCGGAUAGAGGGGUGCGGAAUUCCGGGUGUAGCGGUGAAAUGUGUAGAGAUCCGGAGGAACACCAGUGGUGCAAACGGCGCCCUGGGUCCGAACUGACGCUGAGGCACGAAAGCGUGGGGAGCGAACGGGAUUAGAUACCCGUGUAGUC
rnacentral:rRNA from 1 species